rnacentral:rRNA from 1 species
UACAGGGGGUGCAACCGUUGCUCGGAAUCAUUGGGCGUAAAGCGCACGUAGGCGGUUUGUUAUGUCGGAUGUGAAAGCCCUUGGCUCAACUGAGGAAGUGCAUCCGAAACUGGCAAGCUAGAGUACUAAAGAGGGUCGCGGAAUUCCCGGUGUAGAGGUGAAAUUCGUAGAUAUCGGGAGGAACACCGGUGGCGAAGGCGGCUCACUGGCCCGGUACUGACGCUGAGGCGCGAAAGCGUGGGGAGCAAACAGG